rnacentral:rRNA from 1 species
UACGGAGGGUGCGAGCGUUGUCCGGAAUCACUGGGCGUAAAGGGCGCGUAGGUGGCCCGUUAAGUGGCUGGUGAAAUCCCGCGGCUCAACUGCGGGGCUGCCGGUCAUACUGGCGAGCUAGAGCACGGUAGGGGCAGAUGGAAUUCCCGGUGUAGCGGUGGAAUGCGUAGAGAUCGGGAAGAAUACCAGUGGCGAAGGCGUUCUGCUGGGCCGUUGCUGACACUGAGGCGCGACAGCGUGGGGGGCAAACAGG